rnacentral:lncRNA from 1 species
UUUUGCGGCCGGCGGAGCCUGGCCGAGCCUAGCCGAGAGACCCGUCGAGCCCAGCCGAACGUAGCCGAACGCAGCCGAGCCUAGCCGAACCCCGCGCCCAGACUGCCGCCGCCGCCCGAGCGCCGCCGUGCGAGCAGGCGAGCGGCCGCGGCCGCGGAGGAGGCGCCGCCCCAGGGGGAGGAGGUGGCCGCUCGCCGCAGACCGCCCGCGGCAGAGGCCGCCCCGGUCGCGCCGCGGCGGGAGCGGCCGGCGGAGGCUGCGCUGCCGAGGGGGAGGGCCGGGGGAGGGGAAGUCACCCGUGCCCACCUCCCGCUGCCCCCCGCCCGCAGACUCCCGAGCAUCAUUCGGCGCCCAGCAUCCCGCUACCCCGGAUUCUCCCGCGGGCGCGCACCGGGCUUAACUCAGGCUCAGACAUCUCCACUGCCCAGGGAUCGCUGAGUGUGUGGAAGGCCGGCUAUCCCAGCGCCCCGCUUCGGCAUGGGUCCUGCCAUUGAGGCAGCUUCUCAGCCUGUGCUCAUCUGAGGGUGCACCCGUCAUGGGGGCAGCCCUCUCCCAGGGGGCCCUCAUCGCCAUCAUCUGCAACGGCCUCGUCGGCUUCUUGCUGCUGCUGCUGUGGGUCAUUCUCUGCUGGGCCUGCCACUCGCGCUCUGCCAACAUCGACUCCCUCUCUGAAUCCAGUCCCAACUCCAGCCCUGGCCCCUGUCCUGAGAAGGCACCCCCGCCCCAGAAGCCCAGCCAUGAAGGCAGCUACCUGCUGCAGCCCUGAAGGCCCCUGGCCUAGCCCGGAGUCUGGGACUUAAGUCCACCCCACCUGGCACCUGGAAUCGGGAUCCCAGGGUCCAGCAGGCCUGGGGUCCAGAACUCAGAGUCCAGCCUGUGUGGAACUGGACCUAGCCGCCCAGUGUCUGGUCGGCCUGGCUCCAAGAGGGGCCCUGCCCCUAGGUAGACAGUCUUGGGGCAGGGGUUCAUGAGUUGGUGCUAGGGCAAGGGCCAUCUGGACUCUGCUCCAUCCCAGCGGACGGGGGUGGGGUCCACCCUCCCCCUAGGCCAAGCGCCUCUCGGCCCUCAAGGUUGGGGAAGCAAACUAGAAUCCAUGGCAAUAAUGGGAGGGUGUCCAGGCUGGGCCCCUCCUCUGGUCCUCCUACUGUUUGCUGGAUAAUAAAUGGAUCUAAGACUCUACCCUGAGAUUCUCU